AUUGGUGCUCUUUGACCUUUUGGAAACACAUAAUACAUUCCGAACUUAGUUGUGAAACGAAAGGUGGGGUUAAAUACUAGGAAAGACAUUUCCUGGGAAAAUUUCCUUAGUGCCAGUA
rnacentral:rRNA from 1 species